rnacentral:rRNA from 2 species
GCCUAUACAUGCAGUCGAACGAACUCUGGUAUUGAUUGGUGCUUGCAUCAUGAUUUACAUUUGAGUGAGUGGCGAACUGGUGAGUAACACGUGGGAAACCUGCCCAGAAGCGGGGGAUAACACCUGGAAACAGAUGCUAAUACCGCAUAACAACUUGGACCGCAUGGUCCGAGUUUGAAAGAUGGCUUCGGCUAUCACUUUUGGAUGGUCCCGCGGCGUAUUAGCUAGAUGGUGGGGUAACGGCUCACCAUGGCAAUGAUACGUAGCCGACCUGAGAGGGUAAUCGGCCACAUUGGGACUGAGACACGGCCCAAACUCCUACGGGAGGCAGCAGUAGGGAAUCUUCCACAAUGGACGAAAGUCUGAUGGAGCAACGCCGCGUGAGUGAAGAAGGGUUUCGGCUCGUAAAACUCUGUUGUUAAAGAAGAACAUAUCUGAGAGUAACUGUUCAGGUAUUGACGGUAUUUAACCAGAAAGCCACGGCUAACUACGUGCCAGCAGCCGCGGUAAUACGUAGGUGGCAAGCGUUGUCCGGAUUUAUUGGGCGUAAAGCGAGCGCAGGCGGUUUUUUAAGUCUGAUGUGAAAGCCUUCGGCUCAACCGAAGAAGUGCAUCGGAAACUGGGAAACUUGAGUGCAGAAGAGGACAGUGGAACUCCAUGUGUAGCGGUGAAAUGCGUAGAUAUAUGGAAGAACACCAGUGGCGAAGGCGGCUGUCUGGUCUGUAACUGACGCUGAGGCUCGAAAGUAUGGGUAGCAAACAGGAUUAGAUACCCUGGUAGUCCAUACCGUAAACGAUGAAUGCUAAGUGUUGGGAGGGUUUCCGCCCUUCAGUGCUGCAGCUAACGCAUUAAGCAUUCCGCCUGGGGGAGUACGGCCGCAAGGCUGAAACUCAAAGGAAUUGACGGGGGCCCGCACAAGCGGUGGAGCAAGGUGGUUUAAUUCGAAGCUACGCGAAGAACCUUACCAGGUCUUGACAUACUAUGCAAAUCUAAGAAGAUUAGACGUUCCCUUCGGGGACAUGGAUACAGGUGGUGGAAGGGUUGUCCUCACCUCCUGGCCUUGAGAAGUUUGGGGUUAAUUCCCCCCACCAAGCGCACCCCUUAUUAUUAUUUGCCACCAUUAAAUUGGGGCCCUCGGUGAAACUGCCCGUGACAACCCGAGGAAGAGGGGGGGGGAGGAGGAAAAAAAAAAAAGGCCCCUUUUAAACUGGGGGGCAAACACUGGUCCCAUUGAGA